rnacentral:rRNA from 1 species
GAGCGGGACAGCGAAAGCGUUAAGCAUUCCACUUGGGGAGUACGCCGGCAACGGUGAAACUCAAAGGAAUUGACGGGGGCCCGCACAAGCGGAGGAACAUGUGGUUUAAUUCGAUGAUACGCGAGGAACUUUACCCGGGCUCAAACGCAUAAUGACGACAGUUGAAAGAUUGUUUCCUUUCGGGGCAUUAUGCGAGGUGCUGCAUGGUUGUCGUCAGCUCGUGCCGUGAGGUGUCGGCUUAAGUGCCAUAACGAGCGCAACCCCUAUCGACAGUUGCUAACGAGUCGAGUCGAGGACUCUGUCGAGACUGCCGGCGCAAGCUGUGAGGAAGGCGGGGAUGACGUCAAAUCAGCACGGCCCUUACGUCCGGGGCGACACACGUGUUACAAUGGCAGGGACAGCGGGAAGCCACCAAGCGAUUGGGCGCGGAACCCGAAACCCUGUCUCAGUUCGGAUUGGAGUCUGCAACUCGACUCCAUGAAGCUGGAUUCGCUAGUAAUCGCGCAUCAGCCAUGGCGCGGUGAAUACGUUCCCGGGCUUUGUACACACCGCCCGUCAAGCCAUGGGAGUCGGGAGUGCUUGAAGUUCGUGACCGUUUAGGAGCGACUUAGGGCAAGACUGAUGACUGGGGCUAAGUCGUAACAAGGUAACUGU